GACGAACGCUGGCGGCGUGCCUAAUACAUGCGAGUCCAGCGAGCGGAACCAACAGAUUUACUUGGGUAAUGACGUUGGGAAAGCGAGCGGCGGAUGGGGGAGUAACACGUGGGGAACCUGCCCCUAAGUCUGGGAUACCAUUUGGAAACAGGUGCUAAUACCGGAUAAUAAAGCAAAUCGCAUGAUCAGCUUUUGAAAGGCGGCGUAAGCUGUCGCUAAGGGAUGGCCCCGCGGUGCAUUAGCUAGUUGGUAAGGUAACGGCUUACCAAGGCGACGAUGCAUAGCCGAGUUGAGAGACUGAUCGGCCACAUUGGGACUGAGACACGGCCCAAACUCCUACGGGAGGCAGCAGUAGGGAAUCUUCCACAAUGGACGCAAGUCUGAUGGAGCAACGCCGCGUGAGUGAAGAAGGUUUUCGGAUCGUAAAGCUCUGUUGUUGGUGAAGAAGGAUAGAGGUAGUAACUGGCCUUUAUUUGACGGUAAUCAACCAGAAAGUCACGGCUAACUAC
rnacentral:rRNA from 1 species